GAGAUGAUGCAAGGCUCACUUUGUAGGCUUCUUGUUCAAUUAGAUACCACUCGGUCACGAUGGAGGUGAAGUUGCUCAGGAAGCGGACGCGCUGAGCGCCGCCGGCUGCAGCCGCUGCUCUCUCCACACGGUAUUGGGGCACGGCGCCGACCAGCACAAUGAGCACGGACUGACACGCCACGUACACCUGCAGCAGCACCAGCAGGGCGGUGAGACGCCGCUGCGCGCCGCCGAAUUCCCCCGCCGCGCCGAAGGCCUCCUCCAGCCCCG
rnacentral:lncRNA from 1 species